rfam:Brachypodium distachyon strain Bd21 chromosome 3, whole genome shotgun sequence.
UACUUACUCCCUCCAUCCGGAAAUAAGUGACUCAUAUUUUUUUAGAUUCGUAUAUACCUAGAUGUGUUUUAAUGUAUAGAUAGAUGUGAAUUUAGAAAAAUCUGAGUCACUUAUUUCCAGACGAAGAAAGUAUUAA